rnacentral:rRNA from 1 species
AUUGAACGCUGGCGGCAGGCUUAACACAUGCAAGUCGAGCGAGCGGCGGACGGGUGAGUAAUGUCUGGGAAACUGCCUGAUGGAGGGGGAUAACUACUGGAAACGGUAGCUAAUACCGCAUACCAUCAGAUGGGCCCAGAUGGGGUUAGCUAGUAGGUGGGGUAAUGGCUCACCUAGGCGACGAUCCCUAGCUGGUCUGAGAGGAUGACCAGCCAAACUGGAAAUGGGACACGGUCCAGACUCCUGCGGGGGGGAGCAGUGGGGAAUAUUGCAAAAUGGGCGCAAGCCUGAUGCAGCCAUGCCGGGUGUGUGAAGAAGGCCUUCGGGUUGUAAAGCACUUUCAGCGAGGAGGCGUUACUCGCAGAAGAAGCACCGGCUAACUCCGUGCCAGCAGCCGGGGUAUAC